GGCUUCCGAGGGCAAUGUGAAGCAGCUGCCUUCUGACACCUCCUCAGGGUCUGCAGUCUCUUGGCAGGUCCUCCCAGGAUGAGGGCUGUUGUUCUCAUAUACUACAUUUUGAGAUUAAAAAUAACCCUCGGCCCAGCUUGGCUGCUCUCUCUUGCCUGGGUGACAGASAUGGGGAGGAUGGAGGCUUCCAGGCUUCAGGAGUUUUCAACUGGACUGCCCCUCUGACCCACCACAUUCCACUUACUGCCCAGCUAGCCACCCUCCAAUAGGAGCCCUUGACUUAAAAAGGAGAGGAAAAUGAAAGAAAAGGAUUUGCAGUUUCUACCAGAAAGGUGAAGACGCAUGAUGAAUGAUCAUUCAGCAAGAUUCAGAGCAGAUGAAAGAGGCCCAGAGCAGAAGCCAGAGACGCAGAAGAUGCACCAUGAAAUUGUGAAGUGUGAAGUGGUUGGAGCUCAUAAGCACACUGUGGACACAAGGGUCUUAGUGGUCUUUCAUUGAUCCAGAAUAUAUUUGUACAUGCAGUAUGAGAUAGGAAUUCAACUUCAUUUGCCUUCAGAUGGAUAACCAGUGGGCAUGUUUACAAAUGAAAUAAAAUACCCGCCUUGUCAU